rnacentral:lncRNA from 1 species
UUUCUCUUUCCAUUUUCAGUUGUGUUACUUGAUACUACAACUGCCCUGGGAGAACUAGGAUGGAAAACAUUUCCCUUAAAUGGGGCUAAUGGGUAAAGCAGAUACAACACAUCAGGCCAAAUGUUUAUCAGGUGUCCAGAGUGCUUCAGAAGAAUCAUGUGUAUAAUAUAAAUAAAUUGCCAGAAAAACAACUCA